rnacentral:rRNA from 1 species
AUGGCGUCCGAUGGAGAAACUCCGACAGGCGCGGUCUUGGAUCGGUUCUUGUCACAUGCAUCUAGGUUGUAUGGAAGCGUGGAGAGCGUUCUCUGUGCUGGGGCAGCCAUUGGUUUAUGCUGGGCAGCGUGGCGGUAUUACGAGCGCACCGUGUGCCUCCGCAGCUACGGCCGUGACAUGACCGCUGGCAGCAAACAGGCAGUCAGCCCGGUGGUCGGCCGCGACAGCGAGAUAGACCGUGUCAUCUCCAUCCUCUGCCGCAAGACCAAGAACUGUGCCGCGCUGGUCGGUGCUGCAGGAGUAGGCAAGACAGCCAUCGCCGAGGGCCUUGCACAGCGCAUCGCUGCCGGGAAGGUCCCUGCAGCACUUGCCGGGGCUCGCGUUGUGGAUGUUGAUCUCGGGGCGAUGGUGGCCGGGACCAUGUUCCGUGGCAUGUUCGAGGAACGCUUGAAAGGCGUGAUAAAGAAGGCGGAGGAUUCGGGUGGCAAGAUAGUUCUAUUCAUCGAUGAGAUGCAUACUCUUCUCGGCGCCGGUGCAGUGAGGGGGGGAUGCCAGGAUGCUGCCAAUAUGCUGAAGCCGGCGUUGGCCCGUGGUCGCAUCCGCUGUGUGGGUGCGACGACUUUUGAUGAUUACCGUAAGUACAUUGAGAAGGAUGCUGCACUCGAGCGGCGGUUCCAGAAAGUGCACGUUGAGGAGCCUAGCGCGCAGGCCACCAUUGCCAUGCUGCGGGCGCUAAAGCAGGAGUAUGAACAGCACCACGGCUUAGAAAUCCAAGAUGCCACUCUUGUUGCUGCGGUGCAGCUCGCUGACCGCUACAUCACCGGUCGUCAAUUUCCUGAUAAGGCAAUUGACCUGAUUGAUGAGGCUUGUGCCACAGAAACCAAAACAAUGAUGCGAGUUGGCGACCAAAAAGAGAAUAACACUGUGCAGAGUAGCUCUAAAAAUGCAGUGAAGGAGGCAAUUGUUUGCCCUAAUCAUGUAGCUCAAGUUGUGAGCCAAUGGACUGGAAUUCCUGUCACUGCACUUGACCAAGAGGAGAAGGAUAGACUAAUUCACCUAGCGAGCAGACUGCGGGAGUGA